rnacentral:rRNA from 1 species
UACAGAGACUGCAAGCGUUAUUCGGAUUCACUGGGCGUAAAGGGUGCGCAGGCGGCCAAGUGUGUUAGGCGUGAAAGCCCUGGGCUUAACCCAUGAGGUGCGUUUCAGACUGGAAGACUUGAGUGCGAGAGAGGAAAGUGGAAUUCCUAGUGUAGAGGUGAAAUUCGUAGAUAUUAGGAAGAACACCAGUGGCGAAGGCGGCUUUCUGGCUCGCAACUGACGCUGAGGCACGAAAGCGUGGGGAGCAAACAGG